UACGUAGGGCGCAAGCGUUAAUCGGAAUUACUGGGCGUAAAGCGUGCGCAGGCGGUUUUGUAAGUCUGACGUGAAAUCCCCGGGCUCAACCUGGGAAUUGCGUUGGAGACUGCAAGGCUAGAAUCUGGCAGAGGGGGGUAGAAUUCCACGUGUAGCAGUGAAAUGCGUAGAGAUGUGGAGGAACACCGAUGGCGAAGGCAGCCCCCUGGGUCAAGAUUGACGCUCAUGCACGAAAGCGUGGGGAGCAAACAGG
rnacentral:rRNA from 1 species